UCUAAAAACUGAUGCUGUUUGAUUUUUUAUUGAUGACUUUGAAAAUAAAGUUGCAUUGUUUCUAUGACAAUCUAAACUACCUCCUCCCUUAAGUUUUCUCUCAUUGUUACCCAAAUAAUAGACUAUCCCUGUUUAUAAAACGUUUGGCCUAACAAGUAAAUAAUGUCUCAAAAAAGCCGCGUGGACACUUCCCAUCCAUUGUUCGGAUAGUUUUAAGAAACGGUCAUUUACAGUCGCCUAUAUUUUCAAAAACACUGAUUGUGUAAAUAUCGAAAUUAGAUAUGAAAUGAGCUACGUGGUCCUGAUUGUCAGAAACAUUACGUUUUUAUUUUAGGACCAUCACAGGCAUCUGUCACAUGCCAGGACACAUUCAAUGACCACAGCGGUCAAAUGAUGUCACACAGAAAUCAAGUUAUACAAUUUUGAAAUAAACCUUUUCCCAAUCUAAAAAUUAGACCUUGAGAUUAUGAAUGUAUAGCCUACUGAUCAGUACUGAUCAUCAGCAGAUCAGUAAACAUGUAUAAUGGUAGUUGUAGCACUUUGAACAGGAAUAACUUUAACUCCCCAAAUUAAGUCAGUGAGUGACCUCAUUGUUAGAGGCAGUAGGGGAUUGGACAGACCUCCUAUGCUUGCUUGAUUGCUUGAUUGAAGCCUGCACCUUGUUAAGACUGCAUGGAGCUCCAGCAGUAAGGGACAGAGACAGUUUGUGCUGUUUAGUGUGGGAAGUUUCAGAAGUUCCUUGUGUGCGUUUAAUGCAAAUCUGCUAUUUUCCUGACUUGCUGGCCCUGACUGAAUGCCUUGUAGUGCUUAAGACUGCAGCUCCACACAACUGCCUGUCUGCACUGUGAAGGUGCACACUUCCCAUUAGGACUGUGCGUAGUAAAUGGAUCUCAGAUGCUUAUCAAUUGUUCAAGAAAAUUAUUGGGACUUCUGACCAGAAUAGGGAUGCAGUGGCCCACUUUUGAAGCAAGACCCCUGCCUUGUGCUGCCAAGCACACACCUGAGAGGCGAGUGAUCCCAGUACCAGCCCCAUGUGAGAGUUAGUCAUGGCAAUAAUUGUGAGACACAUGACAACUAAAGUGUUGUGUGGGAGAAAAGGCAUCCUUUUUAUACAACUGCCAAACACGGUAUGAAGGAAACAUAAUUGCCACCUUGGAUAAUGUUGAGUGGCAGUGUUUUUCUGAGUGAAGGAAGUACUACGUUUGUAUUAUGCAUGCAAGUUGUAGGUAAAUGAUUGGAGUGGAUGGUAAGCAUCCCAACCCAGGACUUUGACACCAGGACAGUGGUUCACAUCAAUCAUAAGUGCCACAAGGUUUUAGAUUCAGGCAACAAAAGCACAUUGGUUAAGGUUAGGGAAUGAAGCUGGUUUUGGUUAAAUGUAAACAAAGUAAAAACUGCAAUUCUUGUGGUUCAAGUUUUUUUCUUGCCAUUUUCCAUCCAUCCACCAGAUGCUCUCGGACUUUCCCUCCUUUCCCCAUCACCUAACUGCCCCACCCAUCUGCACACCUGUUCCCACUUCUCUCAUCUCUCUCUCUCUCUCUCUCUCUCUCUCUCUCUCUCUCUCAUUCAUACAUAUCUAUCUCUCUCUCUCUCUCCCCUUUUGUUCCUCUUUCAGUUCAUCAAAGUUGCAACGUGGUUUUCUGUCAUCGAUUUUGAGUCUCUGUUACCUGCCUCCCUGGGCCUAAUCUGGACUCCUGACUUUUUGCCUGCUUCCAGCCUGAUCAAGUCUGCCCUCCUGCGUGUUAGCCUAUGUAUGUACAGUAUAUGUAUACCUACUUUGGCAAUAAAUUAUUGAACUGA